ACAUCAGUUCUUGUCUAUGUAAAUUAUCAUUAUAAUCUGUCAACAAACCUAACAUUUUUUCAUGUAAAUAAGGAGUAAGACCACCCAAGUUAGCUUCUUGCUUUUGUAAUUCAUAAAUCUACUGAUUUAAUUGCUUCCCUUUACUAAAUAAAUCAUCUAGCCUUCUUUUCCAAUUUUGAACAGCGGUACUCAUGUUUUGCAACAACCAAGACAA
rnacentral:lncRNA from 1 species